UACGAAGGGAGCUAGCGUUGUUCGGAAUCACUGGGCGUAAAGCGCACGUAGGCGGAUGUGUCAGUCAGGGGUGAAAUCCCGGAGCUCAACUUCGGAACUGCCUUUGAUACAGCACGUCUUGAGUCCGAUAGAGGUGGGUGGAAUUCCUAGUGUAGAGGUGAAAUUCGUAGAUAUUAGGAAGAACACCGGUGGCGAAGGCGGCCCACUGGGCCUUACCUGACGCUGAGGAGCGAAAGCGUGGGUAGCGAACAGG
rnacentral:rRNA from 1 species